AAGGGCACCACAAGAACGCGUGGAGCAUGUGGCUUAAUUUGACUCAACGCGGGAAAACUUACCGGGUCCGGACACACUGAGGAUUGACAGGCGAUAUAAAUUAUGCUAGUCCUUUCAUGAUUGUGUGAUAGGUGGUGCAUGGCCGUUCUUAGUUCGUGGAGUGAUCUGUCUGCUUAAUUGCGUUUCAGAUAUAAAGUGUCGUUACAAUGACGUGUGGCGUAGUCUUUCGGGACGCGUCCACGCAUGAUUGACACUAUGAAAGCAACGAACGUGACCGCAACCCUUUGUUGCAUCCGUUAUAUUAUGGAUUUGCCAACUAAGGGGACCGCCAGGUUUGUCUAACCGGAGGAAGGUUGCGGCAAUAACAGGUCUGUGAUGCCCUUAGAUGUUCCGGGCUGCACACGUGCUACAAUGAUUGUUACAGAAAGUAUCUAACUUAUCGCUAGUUCGCCUUCGAGCGUUCGAGCCAUGACGCGAUCACUAGUCGUGCGACGCGCUUCGGYGCGUACGCGUGACAGUGCCUAUCGCUCAUGAAACCUGCCUCGAAAGUACGGCAGGCAAUCAAUUCCAAGUGACAAUCUCCCGCGCACAAAUCAAAUGUGUGAUUUGCCGUUCGCGUUUCGGCGUGGCGNCGUCACGCAUGUGCUCUAUUAAUUCGUGGUCGGGACAGACCAUUGCUAAUUGUUGGUCUCGGUCUCAACUAGGAAUGCCUWGUACGGGUCUUUGGUUC
rnacentral:rRNA from 1 species